GACGAACGCUGGCGGCGUGCUUAACACAUGCAAGUCGAACGGAAAGGCCCUGCUUUUGUGGGGUGCUCGAGUGGCGAAAGGGUGAGUAACACGUGAGUAACCUGCCCUUGACUUUGGGAUAACUUCAGGGAACUGGGGCUAAUACCGGAUAGGAGCUCCUGCUGCAUGGUGGGGGUUGGAAAGUUUCGGCGGUUGGGGAUGGACUCGCGGCUUAUCAGCUUGUUGGUGGGGUAGUGGCUUACCAAGGCUUUGACGGGUAGCCGGCCUGAGAGGGUGACCGGCCACAUUGGGACUGAGAUACGGCCCAGACUCCUACGGGAGGCAGCAGUGGGGAAUUUUGCACAAUGGGCGGAAGCCUGAUGCAGCAACGCCGCGUGCGGGAUGACGGCCUUCGGGUUGUAAACCGCUUUCGCCUGUGACGAAGCGUGAGUGACGGUAAUGGGUAAAGAAGCACCGGCUAACUACGUG
rnacentral:rRNA from 1 species